CCUACGGGUGGCAGCAGUGAGGAAUAUUGGUCAAUGGGCGGGAGCCUGAACCAGCCAAGUCGCGUGAGGGAAGACGGUCCUACGGAUUGUAAACCUCUUUUGCCGGGGAGCAACGGGGUCCUUGCGAGGGCCCGAUGAGAGUACCCGGAGAAAAAGCAUCGGCUAACUCCGUGCCAGCAGCCGCGGUAAUACGUAGGUGGCAAGCGUUAUCCGGAUUUACUGGGUGUAAAGGGCGUGUAGGCGGGAAAGCAAGUCAGAUGUGAAAACCAUGGGCUCAACCUGUGGCCUGCAUUUGAAACUGUUUUUCUUGAGUACUGGAGAGGCAGACGGAAUUCCUAGUGUAGCGGUGAAAUGCGUAGAUAUUAGGAGGAACACCAGUGGCGAAGGCGGUCUGCUGGACAGCAACUGACGCUGAGGCGCGAAAGCGUGGGGAGCAAACAGGAUUAGAUACCCCAGUAGUC
rnacentral:rRNA from 1 species